rnacentral:rRNA from 1 species
CCCUUAGAUGUUCUGGGCCGCACGCGCGCUACACUGAUCAGUGCAACAAGCAUCCGUCCUUGGCCGACAGGCCCGGGCAAUCUUUGAACGCUGAUCGUGAUGGGGAUAGACUUUUGCAAUUUUUGGUCUUCAACGAGGAAUUCCUAGUAAACGCAAGUCAUCAACUUGCAUUGAUUACGUCCCUGCCCUUUGUACACACCGCCCGUCGCACCUACCGAUUGAAUGGUCCGGUGAAAUCUCCGGACUGGCGUGAGUCGGAGCAAUCUGACAAACACCGGAAAGUUGAUUAAACCUUACCAUUUAGAGGAAGGUGAAGUCGUAACA